GCCGGAGUGGCCGAGCGGUUCUAGGCGCUACAGUCUGGAACUGCGGUCGCAGGUUCGAAUCCUGCCUCUGGCA